rnacentral:rRNA from 1 species
GACGAACGCUGGCGGCGCGCUUAACACAUGCAAGUCGAACGGAAAGGCCUGCUUUCCCUUGUGGAUUGCGGGUACUCGAGUGGCGAACGGGUGAGUAACACGUGAGUGAUCUGCCCCCAACUUGGGUAUAAGCCUGGGAAACUGGGUCUAAUUCCCGAUAGGACUGCAGGGUGGUGCCUGUGGUGGAAAACGAUUUUCUAGUGGUUGGGGAUGAGCUCGCGGCCUAUCAGCUUGUUGGUGGGGUAAUGGCCUACCAAGGCGGCGACGGGAAGCCGGCCUGAGAGGGUGGACGGCCACAUUGGGACUGAGAUACGGCCCAGACUCCUACGGGAGGCAGCAGUGGGGAAUAUUGCACAAUGGGCGGAAGCCUGAUGCAGCGACGCCGCGUGGGGGAUGACGGCCUUCGGGUUGUAAACUCCUUUCGACCGCGAGGAAGCCACCUGGUUGGAAGGGUGGUGACGGUAGUGGUAGAAGAAGCACCGGCUAACUACGUG